rnacentral:tRNA from 1 species
GCCUGGGUGGCUCAGUCGGUUGAGCAUCCGACUUCGGCUCAGGUCACGAUCUCACGGUUCGUGAGUUCGAGCCCCGCAUCAGGCU